rnacentral:rRNA from 1 species
CAGCAGCCGCGGUAAUACGUAGGGGGCAAGCGUCGUCCGGAUUCAUUGGGCGUAAAGCGCGUGUAGGCGGCCAGAUAAGUCCGCUGUGAAAACUCGAGGCUCGACCUCGAGAUGUCGGCGGAAACUAUCUGGCUAGAGUCCGGAAGAGGAGAGUGGAAUUCCUGGUGUAGCGGUGAAAUGCGCAGAUAUCAGGAGGACACCCGUGGCGAAAGCGGCUCUCUGGGACGGUACUGACGCUGAGACGCGAAAGCGUGGGGAGCAAACAGGAUUAGAUACCCUGGUAGUCCACGCCGUAAACGAUGGGUGCUAGGUGUGGGCGGUGUCGACUCCGUCCGUGCCGAAGCUAACGCAUUAAGCACCCCGCCUGGGGAGUACGGCCGCAAGGCUAAAACUCAAAGGAAUUGACGG